AUUGAACGCUGGCGGCAGGCCUAACACAUGCAAGUCGAGCGAGCGGCGGACGGGUGAGUAAUGUCUGGGAAACUGCCUGAUGGAGGGGGAUAACUACUGGAAACGGUAGCUAAUACCGCAUACCAUCAGAAGUGCCCAGAGGGGAUGAGCUAGUAGUGGGGGUAACGGCGCACCUAGGCGACGAUCCCUAGCUGGUCUGAGCGGAUGAACAGCCACACGGGAACUGAGACACGGUCCAGACUCCUACGGGAGGCAGCAGUGGGGAAUAUUGCACAAUGGGCGCAAGCCUGAUGCAGCCAUGCCGCGUGUGUGAAGAAGCGCUUCGGGUUGUAAAGCACUUUCAGCGGGGAGGCGUUACCCGCAGAAGAAGCACCGGCUAACUCCGUGCCAGCAGCCGCGGUAAUUC
rnacentral:rRNA from 1 species